UCCGGUUCUCCGGCGUUGGGACAUCUUCCCUAGUAUCCCGGUGUGCGGUGGGCAGAGCUGUUUGGUCUUCUUUCGUAGGGAAGCGCGGAGUGGAAGGAUGACCUUUUUCUUUCUUUUUUUUUUUUUUUUUUUCAUUUUUCAUUUUUUUAGAUUUUUUUAUUUUUUAUUUUUCAGGGGGAGGUUGCCACUUGGAAGCCACAGUUUGCUGUCUGUCAGUCUGUGUUUGUGCGUACACACACAUGCCUGUGCAAUAGUGUGUCUUACUUUUAGGAACUAAUUUCUAAGGGUAAAGACCUGGAAGGUGAUACUAACGUUUUAAUGCCCUUUAGGAAAAGAUUUUAAAAAAAAAAAAAAAAAGAAGAAGAAAGAUGUGAUCUGUCACUGGAGAGUUGACUCUGGAAAAAACAAAACAAAAAGCCUUUUCUGAAGAGAAGCUGUCCUCUUCAAAAUGGAGUCCUGAAGUAUAUCUAAAUGAAUAGAAUUUAAAUUCAUGACACUUUGGAUAUGCUCUAGUCGGAGAAGAAAAAAAGAAAAAAACAUAAAAUUUGAGGGACGGAUUACUACAACUUCUCCAGAACUAGAAAAAUCUGCAGCGGUCAUUUGUAUUUCCAUGGCCACCCAUAUGUCCCAAGAACGUAUGCACUCAUUUAUGAUUUUGGCAUCAGCAUCAUUUCCCUCAACGAUGGUGAAUCUUUUAACAUUCUAGGUAUAAUCUGAGCAAAAUGGUAUAACCUCUUUUCAUUAGAAUGGCUUGGGAGCCAGGAGCAAGGCCAGCAGAAGAAGACAGCCAGUAGACUUUGAGCCAGUGAAUCCCAGCACUGGGAACCACCAGAAUUAGUUCACUGACUGUGUCCUUUUAGACACAGUAUACUCCCUUCACAUGACUUAACAGUAGAGUGAGUGCCUUCACAGUAGACUCUCCUAGAAUGUAGCUUGUUGCUGUUCUAAAGGUAAGGCUCCUUAUCCAUUGGGUUUUCUGUUGGUUUUUAAUAUCAUAUGCCCAAAAUAGCCCUGGAUUUCAGAAUGUUCAGUUUCUUAUAUUGUCAUGUAUUUUGAACUUUUAUCUCUAGCUAUCAGAGAAAAACCUUCAGUCAAAGAUAACAGUAGAUUGGAAGCCUUUUUCUUGUUAACCUCCAAGGGGCAUGGACAAGUUUCCUGACUUAUAAACAUGAGGAAUUUUUCUGAUUAUUUUCUUGGCAAGAUGAAUGUGAUUUGCCUUCAUACUUACAUAGUUCCUGUCAGGAGACACAUUGUCUAAUUUGAUAUAUGGCACCUUUUUAUGUUCUUUCAACUUUUAUUUAUUCUACAUACUCUGUAGUUAGUUAAGUUGCUGCUGGGGACCUCAGUGCUAUGACAAGAGGUAUAUUCAGCGGAGCCUUCCUAAUAUGGCAUUUUUGGGGUAUGAGAGAGCUCUUCCCGGAAGUAGUUUAAAAAGACAGAAAAAAAAAAAAAAAAGAGAGAGAUACAUUUUCUACCUAAAAUUUGUCUCUCCAUAUUUAGUAACCUAAUCUGUUGGAGUGAAAAGGAAGAACAUGGUGUCAAUCAGGGGGGAUUUAUCCAUAAUAUCUUUUAGAAACUAGUAUCAUAGAUUAUGUUAGUUAUUGUUCCUGUAUCCUAAACUACCAUGACUAUUUUAGAGUUCAUGAAAAGUGAUGAUUUCCAUUUCAUUAUUUUCAUCUCAGAGUCUGUCUGUAUUUGUAAUGAGA
rnacentral:lncRNA from 12 species